CCUACGGGUGGCAGCAGUGGGGAAUAUUGGACAAUGGGGGGAACCCUGAUCCAGCCAUGCCGCGUGUGUGAAGAAGGCCCUCGGGUUGUAAAGCACUUUCAGUGAGGAAGAACGCCUGGUGGUUAAUACCCAUCAGGAAAGACAUCACUCACAGAAGAAGCACCGGCUAACUCCGUGCCAGCAGCCGCGGUAAUACGGAGGGUGCGAGCGUUAAUCGGAAUUACUGGGCGUAAAGCGCGCGUAGGUGGCUUGAUAAGCCGGUUGUGAAAGCCCCGGGCUCAACCUGGGAACGGCAUCCGGAACUGUCAAGCUAGAGGGCAGGAGAGGAAGGUAGAAUUCCCGGUGUAGCGGUGAAAUGCGUAGAGAUCGGGAGGAAUACCAGUGGCGAAGGCGGCCUUAUGGACUGACACUGACACUGAGGUGCGAAAGCGUGGGUAGCAAACAGGAUUAGAUACCCCGGUAGUC
rnacentral:rRNA from 1 species